AUGAACGCUAGCUACAGGCUUAACACAUGCAAGUCGAGGGGUAGCAGGGUAGCAAUACCGCUGACGACCGGCGCACGGGUGAGUAACACGUAUCCAACCUACCAUUCACACGGGGAUAGCCUUUCGAAAGAAAGAUUAAUACUCGAUAGUAUAGCGAUAAGGCAUCUUAUUGUUAUUAAAGAAUUUCGGUGUUUGAUGGGGAUGCGUUCCAUUAGAUUGUUGGUGAGGUAACGGCUCACCAAGUCUUCGAUGGAUAGGGGUUCUGAGAGGAAGGUCCCCCACAUUGGAACUGAGACACGGUCCAAACUCCUACGGGAGGCAGCAGUGAGGAAUAUUGGUCAAUGGACGAGAGUCUGAACCAGCCAAGUAGCGUGAAGGAUGAAGGCCCUAUGGGUCGUAAACUUCUUUUAUAGGGGAAUAAAGUUCGGAACGUGUUCCGUUUUGUAUGUACCCUACGAAUAAGGAUCGGCUAACUCCGUGCCAGCAGCCGCGGUAAUACG
rnacentral:rRNA from 1 species